AGAGUGUCCCCCAGAAGGUUUGUAAGAGUUAAUACUACUUUUCUAAACAUUUGGUUUCUUUUUAGUUUGCUCUAGGUUGUGGUUUAGAAUGUUUAUGAUCAUUUAAAUAUCCAUGAUUGAGUAAUAUGUAAAAAAACAACCUUGAAAAAGUAAGGUAGCGCUUUAGGAAAUGUAAAAUUAUCUACCAUUUUUCAGUGUGUGGGUGAGGCUCUGAAGAAGUCUUAAAACUGAAAAGGACAUUUUGAAAUUCUGGUUCUCUUUAAAAGACAGUGUAACCUGUAAUUUAAAUUAAUCUAAUCCCCUUUUAUUUUUCUACCAUCUUUAGUUGUAAAAAUCUUCAUUUUAAUAAUUUUUCUUCCCCAAAGUUGAGAAGAAAAGAGACAGGCAUUUAGCAAGGAAGUGUUUGGAAAAACACAAAGACAGUGAAGAGCUUCUGGAAACAUCAGUAACUGAGGAUAGUGGAGAACUAAUAGAAAAUGAAAGAGCAGACAUGGCGGCAGACCCCUCUCCCAGACAACAACCUUCUGAGGAAGAAAUCGGCGAAUCAUUGAGACUUUCUGCUUCACCUUUGAAUUUACCUGGUCAGAGAAAAUGUGACAAUCACACAGCUGUAAGCAGUUUAGACCAUGUGGAUUCUCAAAAAUUAUGCAUGAACAGCAUCCGAGGCUCAGACCAUGCUUAUCUCCAAGGUCAGCAGGAGGUCUCAUCCUCAGGGCUCCUAACAGGUUCUGAUUUGGACACAAUGAAUUUGGAUCAACUGCAAAGAGAAACGCUAAAAGUGCAGCUGGAAGUUUUAAGCCUACAAAAGGAAUAUUACACUUUGAAGCUAAAGAAAUUAAAAAGUUAGAAUGGGAUCUGAUUGUCUCCAUACAACAGAAGAAUAGAUGCAGGAUUUGGUUUGUUUGAUUGGCAGAGAAAGACAUAAUGUCAGAAAAGUAACACUGGUUUAACCUGAAGUUUUUCUAUCUAGCAGAAAAAAAAACACACACUCGAGUUAAUACAGUGUAGCUUUUUAGUGUAAAACAUAUUGAUUAAACACAUUUUUUCUUUUUUGUACAUGUGCACCACCAUGUGGGCCAAACAUAACUAGGACUCAAAUAUUCCAGUAAUGACUUCAUAAUACCAUUAUUAUUUCAACUUAAUGUUGUGGAAGCGUUUUACUGAACUUGUAUGCUGGAAAACUGUAAGCAAAUCUGACAGCUUGAAUUAUUUGUCAUAUCAUUGUCACAUCAGUCAUUUGGUUGAUGCGUGAGGGUAUUCCCAGAUGGCCAAUUGAUCCUUAAACAUAUUUAGGGGCGACAGUGGUGUUGGACAUGGAGU